rnacentral:rRNA from 1 species
CCGCCUGGGAAGUACGCUCGCAAGAGUGAAACUCAAAGGAAUUGACGGGGACCCGAACAAGUAACGGAGCAUGUGGUUUAAUUCGAAACAACGCGCAGAACCUUACCUAAGCUUGACAUCCCAAUGACAUCUCCUUAAUCGGAGAGUUCCCUUCGGGGACAUUAGUGACAGGGGGUGCAUGGUUGUCGUCCGCUCGUGUCGUGAGAUGUUGGGUUAAGUCCCGCAACGAGCUCAAACCUUGUCUUUCGUUUCCAUCAUUAAGAUGUGCCCUCUAGAGCGCCUGCCCGGGAUAACCUGGAGGAAGGUGGGGAUGACGUCAAAUCAUCAUGCCCCUUAUGCUUAGGGCUACACACGUGCUACAAUGGGUAGUACAGAGGGUUGC